rnacentral:rRNA from 1 species
GACGAACGCUGGCGGCGUGCUUAACACAUGCAAGUCGAACGGUGAAGCGCCUUCCUUUUUGGUGGGUGUGGAUGAGUGGCGAACGGGUGAGUAACACGUGAGUAACCUGCCCCCUUCUUCUGGAUAACCGCAUGAAAGUGUGGCUAAUACGGGAUAUUCUGGGUCUGUCGCAUGAUGGGUCUGGGAAAGAUAUUGUUUCGGUGGGGGAUGGGCUCGCGGCCUAUCAGUUUGUUGGUGGGGUGAUGGCCUACCAAGGCGGUGACGGGUAGCCGGCCUGAGAGGGUGGACGGUCACACUGGGACUGAGACACGGCCCAGACUCCUACGGGAGGCAGCAGUGGGGAAUAUUGCACAAUGGGCGCAAGCCUGAUGCAGCGACGCCGCGUGAGGGAUGGAGGCCUUCGGGUUGUGAACCUCUUUCGCCAGUGAAGCAGGCCUGCCUCGUUUGUGGGUGGGUUGACGGUAGCUGGAUAAGAAGCGCCGGCUAACUACGUG